UGCAAUUAUAUGAUCUUAAUCGUAUCUGGUCAUAUACAUGUAAAGACACAAGCUGUGCUUGUACAUGCGUAUAGGUAUCGGAAAUUAAACUUCUCUUCUUCAAUAGUAAUUAACGUGUAUUUAUACAUUAUCUUACAAAUAGAAAUCAGGACGCACAUGUUAACUUAUGUGACCUCUGUAUUAUUUAAUCAAAUUAAACUUGUAAUUCUGUUAUAUUUUACAUGAUUUGUUUUAUAAUUAUAAUCUAACAGGUUAGAAUAGAUGGGAUGAAACAAUCGUAUUUAUUUUUUGACUGCUGUUUUAUUUUAUCAAUACCUGGAAGGAUAAAAAGUGGCAAAUUCGACCUUGGUGGAAUUUGAACUCAAAACGUAAAGGGACACAACUAUAUAAUCACAACUAUCUAUUAAAAGCUGCAUAUGGCUAUGAUGCGGCCACACUUUGAAUUAACAUCACCAGUUUGGAACCCCUAUCUUGCUCAGGACAUUGGCCUCCUGGAAAAUGUUCAGACAUGCAACCAUGUGAAUACCCUCCAUCAGGCAUCUACCACACUCUGAAUGCCUUGCUUCCUUGGGCAUAGAUACACUGAAGCUCCAAUACUGACAACUGACUUAGUAAACAUCCACAAAAUUAUUAACAUUGUGCCAACAGCCACAUUGAACACCUUUUUCAGCUCCAUGUGUGUUUGCAGAAGGAAAUUUUCUAGAAGUUGAUUCCAAUGGAAUUUGAACACAGAACUAAAUACCACAAUCUUUCUAUCAAUUGAUUGUGUGUUACUCACACCCUCAUAAUAAUUAUGGUAAUGAUUUCUAACAAAUCCACAAGACCUCAAAUUUUGUUUGGGCACCAAUUAUAGAAAGCUGAAGAAAUUUUCUUCGAAAAGACAGAUUAAGUUACAAGAUGCGGUGCUUAUUCUGAAACUUCUCCAUCAAUUGAAUCAACUAUUGGAAUGUAUUUUAUCACCACAACUCUAAAAGGAUGAAAGAUCAAGUCACAUCCAUUCCUCCAGCUAAUAAUAAAACUUGAACAUUUGAUAUGUAUGUUGUACUAUAGAUUACAUUUAGGUCUACAACAGUCUCAUAAUCAUAUAAUAAUCUGAGAUAGGUAAAAUUUUACAAGAAAUUUUGUAUGUCUUUUGUUUUCUGACAGAAUAAUGUCUGGAAUUUGUGUCAUUGCAAGAGGUGUGAAAACUGUUUACAAGUGGAAAAUCAGGGAAUUUUUGAUAUUGUUUUGCUGUUACUCUUCACUCGUUUAUUAAAAAGAAAAUUGUAAAUUUUUAAAAGAAAUGAAUAAAUAUAUUUUUCCAAUC